rnacentral:lncRNA from 1 species
UUCCCCAGGUACGUGACCUUCAAAUACAUUCCUUACAAUACUUGAAUAGAUACCAAUACAACUAUAACCAUUAACUCAUAAUACACACUUAUUCGAUCAGCUUUCCUUUUCCUUUGCUCGUGCCUGAGCCUUCAGGUUGCUCAUACAUAACUGAAAACAUUUAAUUUAAGCAAGGAUGAGCAUUUAAGUGCCCAACAAGUAAUAGCAAUUAUAUAUAAGCUGAAAAAAUAUAAGUAUUCACUUUACAUAACACUUCUACAAUGAAUUGAAAGUUGUGAAGUAAUCUGUACUGAUAAAAAAUUCACAUAACAACUCUCUUUCAAAUUCUUUAAAUUUGGCUCUGGCUCUACCCUUGAAUAGGGUUUAAGAAACAUACUAUGAACAUUCUUUUCAUUUUCGAAAAGGUUUAGCGGAAUUCUAUCCUCAAACCGUCAUAACUUACGGGCACGGAGGGUGAUCAGCCCCGUUGUACCCUGUAUUGAUCAAUACUACAUAACUUGAACGAAAUUCAUCGCUCACUCUAUCCGCCUUGCGCAAAAAUCUUCCCAUAUAGGGAUGUUCAUACAUGCCUGGUUCCAAACCCGAAGGUUUUUAAUCUUGCUCAACAAUAAUAUGUAAUUCAACAUAUAUAUACGGGUAAUUGACAAAGGUGUAUCAACAUGUGAACAAAUGCCAUGAUUAUCCAAGUGGGGACACUUGUAUAACCAUUUAUAGAAAUCAAUGAACAGAAUAUAUAUCUGAGCUAACAUGUCGAUAAUCAAAGAGUACAUAAUCUGUACAGGGAUAGAAUAAUUCUGAAACUUCUUACUCAUGUCCAUUGCAUAAAGGAAGUGCAAAGGUAGGAUACUUGCCUGAUUCGCUGAUUACAAAUCUCAACUUAGGUUUUAUCUCUUUAUCACAACCUAUCAAUAAUCAGAUCAUUCGUUCGAUUAGAACAAUAUAUCUUAACACAUAGUACUGUCUAUUACAGUCAGCACAUAGUCUAAUCACAUAAUCACAGUGAUCAUACUUUUAGUUCCUAUUCUAUACUUGAAAUAUUUUUAUACAUUUUUCAAAUAUCUCAUCCAUGCUCUUACAGUAGUCUUUUCUUUCUUUUAUAAGGUCUGACAUUUGUCGGCGUACCGACAGCUUUAUCGGGUAAAUACUGAGUCUAAGACUCUUAUUCUAUACCUCAACAUCUGUAAAUAUCAGACAUCUUAUUUUUAAUCAUUUUCGCAAUUUCCAGAAAUUGAAAAAUUUAAAAUAAUUCAAAUCUGUCACUAAAGGGCCUAUAGUGAUAUAACUGUUACUAUAGGUGUUCUUCUUCAAAUUCAGAACUUCAUAAUCGGUUCUCAAGUCAGCUAGUUUGGCCGGCUAUAACUUUCAAAUAUCGGAAUCAUAAUUAAAUGAUUUAAACAUUAAACAAUUCCAUUAUCAUUAAUAGUUUAAUUAAUACUAAACUAUUAAUGAAACCAUUGCCAAAAUAUAAAAGUUAUUUAUAAUAACUCAAACUAUUUUUAAAACAUUUAUAUUACCCAAAUAAUUACCAUUAAUAUUUAAAUAUUAAUGUACUAUUUAUCCAAAUAUUAAAAGUCAUUAAUUAUAACUUAAAAUAUUUUUAAAUCCUUAAUAUCCUCUUUAAAUGGUUUUUAAAUAAGUAAAACCAUUUUUAAACUAUUUAUUUAAUAUUAAUCAUUAAAUAAACUAAAUAUCAUUAAUAUUAUCUUAAUAUCAUUAAUAUUUAAUUAUUAAUGAAAUUAUCAUUUAAAUAUUAAAAGUUAUAUUUUAUAACUUAAAAUAUUUUUAAAUACCUUAUUUUCAUUUAAAAUGAUUUUUAUAAUAUUAAAAUCAUUUUUAAACUAAAUUAUUUAAUAUAAUCAUUAAAUAACUUUAAUAUCAUUAAUAAUUAUUAAUUAAUGAAAUUCAUCACAAAAUAUUAAAAGUCAUCACAAAUAACUCAUUUACAUAAUCAAUUCCAAGCCAAAAUAAACAUAGUAAACUAACUAGUUUAUUAACAACACUAACUAAACUUCAAAAAUUCAAACUUUAACUAACAAUUAAAAAUAAUAACAUUACAAAAAUUAAAUAAGAAACAUACCCGGAAAUACGAAUUCCACAGACUGAAUACGCACUUCCACGCCAAAAUUUAACUAAGGAGAUCUUUAUAAAAAGUUCUCCCACAACAAAGCCUUUCUCAAAAAUUG